rnacentral:misc_RNA from 1 species
GAUGAAGAACGUAGUGAAAUGCGAUAAGUAAUGUGAAUUGCAGAAUUCAGUGAAUCAUCGAAUCUUUGAACGCACCUUGCGCCCUUUGGCCAUUCCGAAGGGCAUGCCUGUUUGAGUAUCAUGAACACCUCAACUCUUUAUGGUUUUCCAUGAUGAGCUUGGACUUUGGGGGUUUUGCUGGCCUAUGGUCGGCUCCUCUAAAAUAAAUCAGCUUACCAGUGUUUGGUGGGUAUCAUGGGUGUGAUAACUAUCUACGCUUGUGGUUUUUCCGCCAGGUAACCUUUGACAGCGGAGGUUCACUGGAGCUCAUAGAUGUCUCUCCUCAGCGAGGACAGCCCUUUGAAUGUUUGAUCUCAAAUCAGGUAGGACUACCCGCUGAACUUAAGCAUAUCAAUAAGCGGAGGA